UGGGGAAUUUUCCGCAAUGGGCGAAAGCCUGACGGAGCAACGCCGCGUGAGGGAUGAAGGCCUAUGGGCUGUAAACCUCUUUUAUCAAGGAAGAAGAUCUGACGGUACUUGAUGAAUAAGCCACGGCUAAUUCCGUGCCAGCAGCCGCGGUAAUACGGGAGUGGCAAGCGUUAUCCGGAAUUAUUGGGCGUAAAGCGUCCGCAGGCGGUCUUUUAAGUCUGUCGUCAAAGCGUGGAGCUUAACUCCAUUUGUGCGAUGGAAACUGGGAGACUAGAGUGUGGUAGGGGCAGAGGGAAUUCCCGGUGUAGCGGUGAAAUGCGUAGAUAUCGGGAAGAACACCAGUGGCGAAGGCGCUCUGCUGGGCCAUAACUGACGCUCAUGGACGAAAGCCAGGGGAGCGAAAGGGAUUAGAUACCCCUGUAGU
rnacentral:rRNA from 1 species